rnacentral:lncRNA from 1 species
GCCACUGCAGGGGGCCAGGCAGGCAGGGUGUCUGUCACCGGCCAGCGGUCCCUGCCCUUCUGGCCACCGCUGCCAAAAGCUUGGGUAGGUUUGUGUUUCCCAGCUGAGCCUCCACGCUGCCGAUGGCCUUCCAAGUUGUGCCCUGGCCUGGUUUGUGGUGCAUCCUCAUUUCACUAAUGGAAAUGAAGGUAACAGCAGUCUCCUCCCGCCUCCGUCCAGUUGUGGCCUUUCCUAAGAGGACAAACCUGCUGAAGGACACAGAGACCAUGUCACCCACAAGAGGUCCACACCAGAAGAGGAGAGAGCCCCAUUCUGCUGACUCCUUCCAAAAGCCUGGGACCCUGUGCACAGUAGCCUUUGGAAGACAGGCGAGCUGGCUCUACCUGUCUUGCAGAUUCAGAAUCUAGGUCAUUCUGCUCCCUCCCCUCCUCCUCUGGAAGACAAGCCAGAUUUCUCCUAGGGUCUCAGAAGGAGAGAGGGGACGGCAGGAGAAAAUGUUUUAGCGGGACCCACACCCUGCCUGCUGCUGUCAGGAACAUUUCAUUUUGAAGCCAAUAUAAUUUAUGAGAUGCAAAUGGAUUUAGCAUUAAAAAAGAAAAAAGAGAAAGAAAGACUUGGAAAAGGUACAAAGUGCACCUCACACCCUUGUGCUGAGGCUUGUUUGGGGCUCCAUUAAUCAUCUCAGACAAAAGAGAUUUCAUCUGCGGCUAGGCAAUCUGGGAGCCCCCCUGGGGGCCAGCUGAGAGCAGCGGGCACUGACUGCAGGCCUGGCCUCUGAGCGGCUCCGGCCUCCGCUGCCCAGCACUUGUGCUGAGCUCUGGUCUGAGUCACGCACUAGAUGAAAUUACAGAGGUUUCUGCACAUGAUGAAUCAGAAAGCAGGAUCAAGCCAAAUAUUUGGACAAGCCUUGCCCCGCGUGGAGCAGGAGGGAGAUGGAGCCGCCAGCCAGAAGCCUGCCAGCAGCCUUCCCAGAGAUGGCUUCUGACAAAGUGCCGCCGUGGGGCAGGCUACUGCCUAGAAGGGUGUUAGCUCCAUCCAUUAGGGCAGCCUGCAGCUGGAUCUCUCGGCCAGGUCAGCUCUACAAAAGGGGCCUCUGAGCAUCCCAGGGCCCUGAGCCCUGAUUCAGCCUCACCCUUGGAGAAGGGGGGCUUGUGCGAGUGCGGCGUGCAGGGUGGGGGAGGAGAUGGUUUGCUUUGAGUCACCCCAUCCGCCUUCUUUUUUAGGAGUCAUCGGGGCCAGGGCGGCAGGCAGCGUUUCCUGCAGCAGUGAGCUGGGGCGACCACGCGUCCUCCCACCGCUCCUGCCUGGGCCAGGGUGGGGACGCAGGCAGACACGGUGGCUGCAGAAUGGGGAAGGAAGUGGAGCCCUGUGCCCUGUGCCAAAGAUUUGCUGCUGUGAGGACCUUCA